rnacentral:lncRNA from 1 species
UGGUAUGUUUUUGAUUUUAGAGCAUAGGAUCAUAAAAAUAUCCUGGUAAUGGUAAAACCUUUUUGCAUAAACAGUGGUUCCAUUCUGCCUGUACAGAGAGUGAAAGGAAACAGAGGUGUCUUGUUUGUGGAUACCUUAAGAAAGGAUGAAUGUGGAACCACAUGAAAGGCAAGAAUCAAAGUCAGCUGCUGUUGGUACAAUUUGGAGCUUGGCUGCAAUGCAGUUAUUUGGAUCCAGUCUUCAGUGGGAGCUGACUUUAUGAGCUCUCAUGCUGAUCAGUGCUCAUUUGCCAAAGUGUAACUCCAACUACUGAUAUGAAACAAAUUGAGUGAGUAACCACCAUCAAGUCAAAAUAUGCCAAUGCUCUGACAACCUCCA